UGUCCAUUCAGGCCUGAAGCUCCCCUACACUGGACUGGAGGCCCGCUAGGAGGCAUGACCUCUCCCGAGCUGAUCCACAAUUCGGAAGCACGUUGGUAUUUCAAAAUGAACACAGCACACAGGUUUAUAAGAGGAAUCUGGGACCAGGAGUAUAAAUUAGAAAUUGAUGCUACAGAGUCAGGCAUAGUCCCACUGUCCCAGGAAGGUGGACUUGGGGGUCUUUUUGCUUAUUCUUUGAGCAGAUAUUGGCUUCUUCCUUCUCUGUGCUGAGCACUGGGCAGGAAGGAAGGCUGGGAGCAAAGAUGGACACAGGCUUCUGUGGCUGUCCUUGAGGAGGUGUUUGCUCCAUGUAAUUAAGGACAGCGGAUCGCUGAGAGCUCUUUCCUCACUUUUCAAUCACAAACAUUCCAUUAGUCACACUGCCUUGGAAGACCUUUGACAGCCUCGUGGGUAGAAUGGGCGCUGACUGGCACGGUGCAGAAAAUUCCUGCUGUAGGCUAACGGCGUGGACAGUUUUGGAUGGAAAGGAGCUGUAUGCCCCGAGUGAGAGGUUGGGCAAAGACAGAAAUGGCCAGAGGGUUAGUUUAGGGUGAGGCAAGCGAGGCAGGCUUGUGCCAGUGCAGGAGCAGAGCUGAUCUUUAUUUAAAACUGUGAUAGUUUGUCUGUCAUGGAUCUCUUGGCAUGAACUUCGAUCUCAAGAAAUACCACAUUAAGAUAUUCUUUACCUUGAUUACCGAAUGUUCUGGCCCCUUUAAAGUUUGUACCCGAGCCUGGUGCCUCACUGCCCUCACCCUAGUUCUGGCUCUGCGUGCACUUACUUUCUUUACUCUUCAUCCCUGAAACCUGGCAGAGAUCAGGCCCUCCAGGAAGCUGCAGCAUGUUAUUCCUCCAGUUUCAUAAAAUUCCAGACCACAUUUCUGGGCACCUUUGUCAAAGAAGCGCCAAGAUAUGUGAGGGUCUCUCUACAAGACCGAGUGCCAGGGCUCCUUGAAGGCAGUGUGGCUGGUCCGUCUCCACCUAUGAACUCACCUGUGGCUUUUGAGAAAUCCCUUAAGCAAUCUGGUCUCCACUUCUCCAUUGGCAAAAUGAGGGGAUGGGACAGAUGUUCUUACCUGAGGCUCAGUCUUCUGUGUUGCUCUGCAUUCCCUGGUGGACCGUGGGGGAGAGACCAUGGCAGGCACAUCCCCAGGCCAGGCCCUCUUGAGAGUCAUGGACUGAGAAAAAGUCAGUAUGAAAAACCAUUGGUGUUUCAAACGAAAGUGCUGAAGUGAUGUUCUCUGGGUGUGAGCAAGGGAGGGAAUGUUUAUUGGUCUCUCAAACUUCUUCUGAGAGCAUACGACUUGUGCUAGCUGUUGAGGGAAGCACAGAGGGGGUUUAGGGAGAGCUCGCACCUGCCCUGGGCUGGUGGGCAGAGUCUUGGGGAUGGAUUGCUGUCCGGAGUGAGAGGGAGAGGAUGACACAGGCUAAAUGGUGUGUGGAAAGUAAGUCCAGACAUGUAUUUUAAGGACAAUCUGGCGAGGAUUCUUGGAAAUGGGGAGUCUUGAAGGAUGUGCUUCUAAUGCUGGCAAAUGCUGUGAACCCAAAGAGGAGCCUGGGCCAUUGGUCAGGGUCUCUGAAGAAAGCAGAUGGAAGGAAGCAGAUGGUGCCCGCAAAUGGAAAAAUCAAUCAGUCAAUAAGUGGACUAGUUAUAGCAGUUCAGGGAUGGUUAAGGGAAAAUCAGCAAGGGACAGGGAAGCACUUUGGGACAGCAUUGGAGAGCCUUUACCAUCCCGGACCUGAACGAGAAGGGGAGAGGAUGCUCCAGGACCUAGAAGCAGCUGUCAGUGUAGAUGAAGGCCAGGACAGGAGCCGAGGCUUUCAGGACCAGAGCAGCUGGGGUCAGAGUUGGGAGUCAGCCUUGCUCCACUCUCUUCCGCACUCCCAUCUCUUGUCGGCAUUUCCACGGGAUGGACCUUGAGUGAUAUCGUUCGGACAGGGCAGUGUCCCGGGGCCCAGACCAGGGUGGAGAGGGAGUCUGGAGGUAGCUCACUGGGCUGGAUGGUGGGGUAAUCAAGUGAAACUUCUUCUGUGCCCAUGAUUGCAUGGUUAAAGGGUGGAGGAGGAGCGUGAGCCUUCACACCCUUGCUCACUUACUGCUCACAACACCCAGCUGGGAGUGCUCAUUACCUCUGUUUUUCAAGCGAGGAUUGACAGUUGUCUCAGCCAGCUGCAAGUCCGCGAGUGUUUCUAGUGGGGGUGGGGAGGGGAGUUUGACCUCCUGGGGCCCCUGCAGGGGGAUUUGGUUCUGCCGCUGUGCUGUGAUCUCAAGGCUCUGUCAUGAGGAGGAGCCAGGGCACAGAGGGAAGAAGCAGCUUGAUCAAGGAGUCACAUCGGGUCAUGGCUGGAGGCUGGGAUGUG
ensembl:lncRNA